rnacentral:rRNA from 1 species
ACGAACGCUGGCGGCGUGCUUAACACAUGCAAGUCGAACGAGAGGACAAGAGAAGCUUGCUUCUUUUGGAAUCGAGUGGCAAACGGGUGAGUAACACGUAAACAACCUGCCUUCAGGAUGGGGACAACAGACGGAAACGACUGCUAAUACCGAAUACGCUUGGAAGACCGCAUGAUUUUCCAAGGAAAGGGUGGCCUCUACCUGUAAGCUAUCGCCUGAAGAGGGGUUUGCGUCUGAUUAGCUGGUUGGAGGGGUAACGGCCCACCAAGGCGACGAUCAGUAGCCGGUCUGAGAGGAUGAACGGCCACACUGGAACUGAGACACGGUCCAGACUCCUACGGGAGGCAGCAGUGGGGAAUCUUCCGCAAUGGGCGAAAGCCUGACGGAGCAACGCCGCGUGAGUGAUGACGGCCUUCGGGUUGUAAAACUCUGUGAUCCGGGACGAAAAGGCAGAGUGCGAAGAACAAACUGCAUUGACGGUACCGGAAAAGCAAGCCACGGCUAACUACGUG